UACGUAGGGGGCGAGCGUUGUCCGGAUUUAUUGGGCGUAAAGAGCUCGUAGGCGGUUCGAUAAGUCGGACGUGAAAUCUCCACGCUCAACGUGGAGGGGCCGUUCGAUACUGUCGUGACUCGAGUCCGGUAGGGGAGUGUGGAAUUCCCGGUGUAGCGGUGAAAUGCGUAGAUAUUGGGAGGAACACCAGUGGCGAAGGCGGCUCACUGGACCGGAACUGACGCUGAGGCGCGAAAGCGUGGGGAGCAAACAGG
rnacentral:rRNA from 1 species